GGGCCCGUAGUCCAACGGUCAAGAUGCCAGCCUUACACGCUAGAGAUCGGAGUUCGACUCUCCGCGGGCCCACCA
rnacentral:tRNA from 1 species